ACGGCAGUCGUUUCACCGCGUGGUCCGCGGUCGCGUCUCAUUACUAGUCACGCGUUUUCAGACUUCAAUUAUUCAAUUAUUAAUCGUCGUGUAUUCUUUUCGUCAUCUGUAAAAUAUUCUUAACGAGCAUGUGUGGCUGUUUUGUUCGAUGCGUUGUGGCGGUUAGAGUGUUCUUAAGUAAUAAAUAAGUAACUGUUACUUUCUGCACGAGUUUUCAGUUGAUAAGAUUUAUUCCGGGAUCUAAAAUCUCUUCAUCGUUACACUGUAUCUACUCACGUUUGAUUUGUGGUGUUCGAUACCCUGUAUUCGCUGUACCAUGGAGUCCGAUGAGUUCUUCAUUAACGUAAAUGUUAACGCUACCCUUCUACGGUGCCCUAAAUGAGUGUAUCUUCUUUAUGGAUCUUUUGUUGAAUGAAGCUAGUCAUAGUCAAUGCUUCCUGAGAUAGACAACUUUAUCAAUAAGGACCAACUGGAGUUCCGUGGUACUGGUGGAGUGCGUAUUGAGGAUGAUGCUAUGUUUACUGAAGAUGGAUGUGUCAACUGGACUAAAAUACCCAGAACUGUCCAAGAAAUUGAAGAUUGGAUUGCCGGUGUUGAUGAUGAUUCCAAAUACGAUUGAAUGAAUUUACAACAUUUUGAAGCUCAUAUUGAUAUCAUUUUUAUGUAUUAAAAGUGUUAAUGUAUUAAAAUGUGUUAAAAGAUAUAAAAAGAGCAUUAUAUAAUUGCAUAUUAUUAUCCUGUUUUCAUGCAUGUUUUGUUUAAAAUGCGGUAUAUAUUAAGAAAUUGAGUUUGUGAUUCUACAUGUUUGAAUAAAAUUGUUGUUUUAUAUUUUAAACUAUAAA